rnacentral:rRNA from 1 species
CGAGUCCGAGGAGCUAAGGCUCCAAAGUGAUGCGAGUCAGACUUCCCAGAAAAGCCCGAACCACGUUAAUUCCUAAUUACCUGUACCCGAAACCGACACAGGUGGGUAGGUAGAGUAUACUAAGGGGCGCGAGAUAACUCUCUCUAAGGAACUCGGCAAAAUGACUCCGUAACUUCGGGAGAAGGAGUGCCUUAUUUAUAAGGUUGCAAUAACAAGAUCCAAGCAACUGUUUAUCAAAAACACAGGUCUCCGCUAAGUCGUAAGACGAUGUAUGGGGGCUGACGCCUGCCCAGUGCCAGAAGGUUAAAGAAGUUGGUUAGUGUAUGCGAAGCUGAUGACUGAAGCCCUGGUGAACGGCGGCCGUAACAAUAACGGUCCUAAGGUAGCGAAAUUCCUUGUCGGGUAAGUUCCGACCCGCACGAAAGGCGUAAUGAUUUGGAUACUGUCUCGGAGAGAGGCUCGGUGAAAUAGACUUGUCUGUGAAGAUGCGGACUACCUGCACCAGGACAGAAAGACCCUAUGAAGCUUUACUGUAACUUGAAAUUGGAAUUGGACUUUGCUUGCGCAGUAUAGGUGGGAAGCGUUGAAGAUAUUCUUGCGGGAGUAUUGGAGCUAUCAGUGAGAUACCACUCUUGUAAUGUUAGAUUUCUAACUUUGAACCAUAAUCUGGUCAAAGAACAGUUUCAGGUGGGCAGUUUGACUGGGGCGGUCGCCUCCCAAAUGGUAACGGAGGCGUACAAAGGUUUCCUCUGAACGGAUAGAAAUCGUAUCUAGAGUGUAAAGGCAUAAGGAAGCUUGACUGUGAGACCUACAAGUCGAGCAGGGACGAAAGUCGGUCUUAGUGAUCUGACGGUACUGAGUGGAAAGGCCGUCACUCAACGGAUAAAAGUUACUCUAAGGAUAACAGGCUGAUCUCCCCCAAGAGUUCACAUCGACGGGGAGGUUUGGCACCUCGAUGUCGGCUCAUCGCAUCCUGGGGCGGUAGUACGUCCCAAGGGUUGGGCUGUUCGCCCAUGAAAGCGGUACGCGAGCUGGGUUCAGAACGUCGUGAGACAGUUCGGUCCAUAUCCGGUGUAGGCGUUAGAAUAUUGAGAGGAGCCUUCUUUAGUACGAGAGGACCGAGAAGGACACACCGCUGGUGUACCAGUUAUCGUGCCAACGGUAAACGCUGGGUAGCUAUGUGUGGAGUGGAUAACCGCUGAAAGCAUCUAAGUGGGAAGCCCACCUCAAGAUGAUUGCUCUCACAGGGUUAACCUGGUAAGGUCACGGGAAGACCACCCGUUGAUAGGCACUCGGUGGAAGUCCAGCAAUGGAUGAAGCCAAGGUGUACUAACAGACCGAGGGCUUGAC